GCUUAUCAGGAAGAUUAUGAGUCAAGCUUUGCUUUGCACUGAAUUUUGACGAAGCUCAUGGGACCCAAUAUCUGCAGUCAGGAAAUGGGGCUGUAGUGUUUUGCUCUGCAACUCCAGUUGGAAUGAAACACACAAAGGAGCCUGGGCUGGUUAUGCAUGACAGGGCAUGAGAACUUCAGACUCACUACCAACAUCCUGCUCCUUUGGUUCGUGAUGGCUUCAGUGAUUCCAAAUGUACUGAUUUAAACUGAAUAGCACAGCUGGAGCCCUGUGAGAGACUGGCUGUCUCUUUUGCUUCGCAGAAGUGGGUCUUGCAUGAAGUAGGUGCUCAUUGUUUGUUGUUAAUUGUCAUAGUUACUUAAAUCUAAAGAGAACCAGCUUUAAAAACUAGACAUGAAACAUUGGAAUAAAAAUCUGAA